CUUGCCCUCCCUCUAGCCCAACCACCCACAACCCCUGACCAUUAAAAACCCACUGUUAACACUAACCAAAACAUUCUAACCCGCUCCCAGUAUAGGCGAUAGAAAAGAGCCUCCUCCGGCGCAAUAGAGACCAACGUACCGUAAGGGAAAGAUGAAAUAAUAAUGAAAACUGUAAGCAAAAAGCAGUAAAGACCAACCCUUGUACCUCUUGCAUCAUGAUUUAGCAAGAACAAUCAAGCAAAGAGAACUAAAGUUUGCCUCCCCGAAACCCAAGCGAGCUACCUGCGAGCAGCUAAAACUGAGCGAACCCAUCUCUGUCGCAAAAGAGUGGGAUGACUCGCUGGUAGAGGUGAAAAGCCAACCGAGCUGGGUGAUAGCUGGUUACCUGCCAAAUGAAUUUAAGUUCCCCCUUAACUCAUCCUUCAAGGACAUUCCCCCUAACCCGCCCAUGUCAGAGUUAAGAGUAACUCGAUGGGGGUACAGCUCCAUCGAAAAAGAACACAACCUCCUCCAGCGGAUAAUAUACACACUAUCCCCAUUGUAGGCCUUAAAGCAGCCACCAACAAAAGAAUGCGUCAAAGCUCUAUUAUUAAAAAUCCACAAAUCCAUUUGACUCCCUCACCCCAAGCAGGUCAACCUAUGAAAAUAGAAGAAUUAAUGCUAAAAUGAGUAACUCGGAGCCCUCCUCCACACAGCGUAAACUUACAUCAUCACAUUAUUAACAGACCCUAACUUAUAUCCUCACUCCUACAAGAACAUGUAUAUCAAUCCGAUCUGUUAAGCCAACUCAGGAACGCCCACAUAGACGAUUAAAACCGGCAAAAGGAACUCGGCAAACUAAAGACCCGACUGUUUACCAAAAACAUAGCCUUCAGCAAACAACAAGUAUUGAAGGUGAUGCCUGCCCAGUGACCCUCAAAGUUCAACGGCCGCGGUAUCCUAACCGUGCGAAGGUAGCGCAAUCAAUUGUCCCAUAAAUUGAGACUUGUAUGAAUGGCUAAACGAGGUCUUAACUGUCUCUUGCUGGUAAUCAGUGAAAUUAGUAUUCCCGUGCAAAAACGAGAAUGUGACCAUAAGACGAGAAGACCCUGUGGAACUUAAAAAUAACGACCACCCCUACACAAACCUCGCCCACCGGGCCCACUCACACUAAAUACCUGGUCGACAUUUUUCGGUUGGGGCGACCUUGGAGAAAAAUAAAUCCUCCAAACCCACAGACCACAACUCUUCACCAAGAUCAACUUAUCAAAGUACUAAUAGUAAUUAGACCCAAUACAAUUGACCAAUGAACCAAGCUACCCCAGGGAUAACAGCGCAAUCUCCUCCAAGAGCCCGUAUCGACAAGGAGGUUUACGACCUCGAUGUUGGAUCAGGACAUCCUAAUGGUGCAGCCGCUAUUAAGGGUUCGUUUGUUCAACGAUUAAUAGUCCUACGUGAUCUGAGUUCAGACCGGAGCAAUCCAGGUCGGUUUCUAUCUAUGAGCAGACUCCUCCCAGUACGAAAGGACCGGAGAAGUGGGGUCAAUACCAUGAAGCACACCCCAGUCUAAUAAGUAAUGAAUCCAACUCAAUUACCAAAAGCCCCUAUACACACCUAAUUCCUAGAAAAGGAACAG
rnacentral:rRNA from 1 species